UCUCCUGUAGCACAAUGGUAGUGCUUUGUGCUUAUGUAUUAUUUUGGUAUUUGGACCGCCAGGCCCUCUGCCAGCAUCCCCCUUUCCGUGACGCAAGGGUUGUGGGUUCGAGCCCCACCAGGAGAA